GCUUAUGAAUUGUUAAGUAAUCAAAAGCUAGCUUUAUGCUUGCUAGAUGUGAUAUUUGCUCAGUUCAAAGUCCCUUUCUUUUUUUCUUGGACUUGUAGCCACCUUAAGAAAGUCCAUUUUCGUUUCAUAAUUUAAAAAUUUUCUUUACAUUUGUAGCCACCUGAUGUGCCUCACCGGCCCCCCUUUUGUUUGUCUGUCUUUUAGGCUUCCUCAUGAGGUUGGUUUGUCUUCAUGGUUGAGGAAAAAAAGCUGAGGAAAGAGGAGGAACUUGAUAUGUCUAGGUAGUAGCUGUUCCCUGGGACUACCUGACACCUUAGAAAGGUAACCAGACUUACAGCCUCUCCUCCCCACAUUCUCGCUGCCCCCACCCCAUUCUGGGGUUUAAACCUUGGCACUUUACCACUAAGCAACAUCCCAGGUCCUUUUUAUUUAUUUUGAGACAGGGUUUUGCUAAGUUGGUGAAGGUCUCACUAAAUUGGUGAGGUUGGCCUCCAUCUUGCCAUGCUUCUAACUUAGCUUCCUAGGUCAUCAUUUUUUGCACAAGAGUGCUGCAGCAAGACCACAGAGAUGUGAGAUCCCAGGGCCACUGUUGCCAGCAGAAUGCCCUUAUCCCCCAGUGAAUGGGGCACCCUUCUUGUCGGCCUGAAAAAUGCGUCCUCAGGAUUUGGAAGAUAACACCCAGACAGGGAAACGUGCCAUUGUUCCUGCUACUAAGUAUUGUUUCAUUUUCUUUGUGCUACAUAUUUUUGACAUAUGAACGUUUGUCUCCAUUGUGAAUUUUUUCCAGUUAGGGAUACCUGGCACAGCUUUGAUUAGGGAGGGAAAUUUUGACUCUGCUUCGGGAUGGAGUGAAAUGAUUCUCUCAACCCAAGGUAGAAGGGUAAGUAUCUUUCUUGAUGGUGAUAUCCACAUAGAAAGGUAGUAAUGUAGUGAUAUUACAUAUUCUGAUACCACUCAGAAAGACAAAAUUAUCCUGGCUGAGGCAGGAGGAUCGUAUGGUAGUAUUAUUUUUACUGAUCCAUGUAUUUUACACAAAUGACAAUAGUUUAAACCCAAUGUGAACUUUCAUUUCACUGAAUGUUCCUCUGAUGGUCAUAUGAUAUGAGAAUCAAAUUUGUACACUAAGAAUAGUGGAAAUUUUGAUUCUUGACAUGUAGACAAAUCACCAGGAGAAAGGGGAU
rnacentral:lncRNA from 1 species